rnacentral:rRNA from 1 species
CCAACAGGGAUUGCCUUAGUAGCGGCGAGUGAAGCGGCAAAAGCUCAAAUUUGAAAUCUGGCACCUUCGGUGUCCGAGUUGUAAUUUGAAGAUUGUAACCUUGGGGUUGGCUCUUGUCUAUGUUUCUUGGAACAGGACGUCACAGAGGGUGAGAAUCCCGUGCGAUGAGAUGCCCAAUCCUAUGUAAGGUGCUUUCGAAGAGUCGAGUUGUUUGGGAAUGCAGCUCUAAGUGGGUGGUAAAUUCCAUCUAAAGCUAAAUAUUGGCGAGAGACCGAUAGCGAACAAGUACAGUGAUGGAAAGAUGAAAAGAACUUUGAAAAGAGAGUGAAAAAGUACGUGAAAUUGUUGAAAGGGAAGGGUUUGAGAUCAGACUCGAUAUUUUGUGAGCCUUGCCUUCGUGGCGGGGUGACCCGCAGCUUAUCGGGCCAGCAUCGGUUUGGGCGGUAGGAUAAUGGCGUAGGAAUGUGACUUUGCUUCGGUGAAGUGUUAUAGCCUGCGUUGAUGCUGCCUGCCUAGACCGAGGACUGCGAUUUUAUCAAGGAUGCUGGCAUAAUGAUCCCAAACCGCCCGUC